UACGGAGGGUGCAAGCGUUAUCCGGAUUUACUGGGUUUAAAGGGUGCGUAGGUGGGCGAGUAAGUCAGUGGUGAAAUCUCCGGGCUUAACCCGGAAACUGCCAUUGAUACUAUUUGUCUUGAAUACUUUGGAGGUAAGCGGAAUAUGUCAUGUAGCGGUGAAAAUGCUUAGAUAUGACAUAGAACACCAAAUUGCGAAAGGCAGCUUACUACACAGUGAUUGACACUUGAGGCACGAAAG
rnacentral:rRNA from 1 species